CCGUAACUAUAACGGUCCUAAGGUAGCGAAAUUCCUUGUCGGGUAAGUUCCGACCCGCACGAAAGGCGUAAUGAUUUGGGCACUGUCUCAACAAUGCACCCGGUGAAAUUGAAAUACCAGUGAAGAUGCUGGUUACCUGCGCCAGGACGGAAAGACCCCAUGGAGCUUUACUCCAGCUUGAUACUGGGAUUCGGUAUUGCAUGUACAGGAUAGGUGGGAGACUGAGAAGAUGUGUCGCCAGAUGCAUCAGAGUCGAUGUUGGGAUACCACCCCUGCAGUACUGGGCUUCUAACCUGCAGCCGUGACCCGGCUGGGGGACAAUGUCUGGUGGGGAGUUUGACUGGGGCGGUCGCCUCCGAAAGGGUAUCGGAGGCGCUCAAAGGUUCCCUCAGAAUGGUUGGAAACCAUUCGAAGAGUGCAAAGGCAGAAGGGAGCUUGACUGCGACACCGACGGGUGGAGCAGGUACGAAAGUAGGACUUAGUGAUCCGGUGGUAUAAAGUGGGAUUGCCAUCGCUCAACGGAUAAAAGCUACCCUGGGGAUAACAGGCUUAUCACUCCCAAGAGUUCACAUCGACGGAGUGGUUUGGCACCUCGAUGUCGGCUCAUCGCAUCCUGGGGCUGUAGUAGGUCCCAAGGGUUGGGCUGUUCGCCCAUUAAAGCGGUACGCGAGCUGGGUUCAGAACGUCGUGAGACAGUUCGGUCCCUAUCCGGCGUGGGCGUAGGAUAUCUGAGAGGAGCUGUCCUUAGUACGAGAGGACCGGGAUGGACUGACCUCUGGUGCACCGGUUGCAUUGCCAAAUGCAUAGCCGGGUAGCCAAGUCGGGACGGGAUAAACGCUGAAGGCAUCUAAGCGUGAAGCCCCCCUCAAGAUGAGAUAUCCCUCCUUCGGGAGUAAGACCCCUUGAAGACUACAAGGUAGAUAGGGCAGAGGUGGAAGCAUGGCAACAUGUGGAGCUGACUGUUACUAAUAGGUCGAGGGCUUAAUCUG
rnacentral:rRNA from 1 species